rnacentral:lncRNA from 1 species
CAUAUACAAUGAACUAUGCAGCAAUAUGAAAAUUAAAAAUUAAAGUUUAAUAUCGACUGGACCGCAUGUGACAGUGCUUAUGUGACUCUGCUGGCCUGCAACAGCGUGUAGAAGGAUUUAAGCAAAAUGAAACAGACAGAAAUAUUGAUCCAGACAACUGGAAUUUUCAAGUGUAUUGCAAUGAUAAUGCCGACUGGAAAGGAAAGAGAAGAAGGUAACAAAGAAAAGCCAAGAAAACUAUUUGGAGUGAGAGACUAUGGCUAUAAUGUGGUAAAAUCGUGGGGACUUAAUUCCAUCAUAUGGAGGGUUACUGAAUGUAUCAGAGACAGCCUGCAGUUCAUCACCACACAAAUUAGGAGGAACGUAAGAAGAGAAAAAGAAAAGAAAUUACAGAUUAAAAAAUCACCUUUAACAGUCAAUGAUCUAGGCUAUUGCUUCCAACUUUUAAAGUUUAA